GUCUACAGCCAUGCUACCCUGAACAAGCCCGAUCUCGGCUGAUCUCAGAAACUAAGGAGGGUCGGGCCUGGUUAAUACUUGGAUGGGAGACCACCUAGGAAGACCAGGUGCUGUAGACA
rnacentral:rRNA from 1 species